AGAGUUUGAUCCUGGCUCAGGACGAACGCUGGCGGCGUGCCUAAUACAUGCAAGUCGAGCGAGCUUGCCUAGAUGAUUUUAGUGCUUGCACUAAAUGAAACUAGAUACAAGCGAGCGGCGGACGGGUGAGUAACACGUGGGUAACCUGCCCAAGAGACUGGGAUAACACCUGGAAACAGAUGCUAAUACCGGAUAACAACACUAGACGCAUGUCUAGAGUUUGAAAGAUGGUUCUGCUAUCACUCUUGGAUGGACCUGCGGUGCAUUAGCUAGUUGGUAAGGUAACGGCUUACCAAGGCAAUGAUGCAUAGCCGAGUUGAGAGACUGAUCGGCCACAUUGGGACUGAGACACGGCCCAAACUCCUACGGGAGGCAGCAGUAGGGAAUCUUCCACAAUGGACGAAAGUCUGAUGGAGCAACGCCGCGUGAGUGAAGAAGGGUUUCGGCUCGUAAAGCUCUGUUGGUAGUGAAGAAAGAUAGAGGUAGUAACUGGCCUUUAUUUGACGGUAAUUACUUA
rnacentral:rRNA from 1 species